rnacentral:rRNA from 1 species
AUAGCGGAGGAAAAGAACCCAACAGGGAUUCCCCUAGUAACGGCGAGUGAAGCGGGAACAGCUCAAAUUUGAAAUCUGGCCUUCGGGUCCGAGUUGUAAUUUGCAGAGGAUGCUUUUGGUGCGGUGCCUUCCGAGUUCCCUGGAACGGGACGCCUUAGAGGGUGAGAGCCCCGUACGGUUGGCCACCAAGCCUGUGUAAAGCUCCUUCGACGAGUCGAGUAGUUUGGGAAUGCUGCUCAAAAUGGGAGGUAUAUUUCUUCUAAAGCUAAAUACUGGCCAGAGACCGAUAGCGCACAAGUAGAGUGAUCGAAAGAUGAAAAGCACUUUGAAAAGAGGGUUAAAUAGCACGUGAAAUUGUUGAAAGGGAAGGAUUUAUGACCAGACUUUUUCUAGGGGGAUCAUCCGGCGUUCUCGCCGGUGCACUUCCCCUAGUUGAGGCCAGCAUCGGUUUUCCCAGGGGGAUAAAAGCUUCGGGAAUGUGGCUCCUUCGGGAGUGUUAUAGCCCGUUGCAUAAUACCCUUGGGGGGACCGAGGUUCGCGCAUCUGCAAGGAUGCUGGCGUAAUGGUUAUUAAUCACCCGUCUUGAAACACGGACCAAGGAGUCGAACAUUUGUGCGAGUGGUUUGGGUGUUAAACCCUCACGCGUAAUGAAAGUGAACGGAGGUGAGAGCCCUUCGGGGUGCAUCAUCGACCGAUCCUGAUGUCUUCGGAUGGAUUUGAGUAAGAGCAUAACUGUUCGGACCCGAAAGAUGGUGAACUAUGCGUGGAUAGGGUGAAGCCAGAGGAAACUCUGGUGGAGGYUCGCAGCGGUUCUGACGUGCAAAUCGAUCGUCAAAUCUGCGCAUGGGGGCGAAAGACUAAUCGAACAUCUAGAGCUGGGUACCGCAG